rnacentral:rRNA from 1 species
AUUGAACGCUGGCGGCAGGCCUAACACAUGCAAGUCGAGCGAGCGGCGGACGGGUGAGUAAUGUCUGGGAAACUGCCUGAUGGAGGGGGGUAACUACUGGAAACGGUAGCUAAUACCGCAUACCAUCAGAUGUGCCCAGAUGGGAUUAGCGAGUAGGUGGGGUAACGGCUCACCUAGGCGACGAUCCCUAGCUGGGCUGCGAGGAUGACCAGCCAAACUGGAACUGGGACACGGUCCAGACUCCUAGGGGAGGCAGAAGUGGGGAAUAUUGCACAAUGGGCGAAAGCCUGAUGCAGCCAUGCCGCGUGUGUGAAGAAGGCCUCCGGGUUGUAAAGCACUUUCAGCGGGGAGGCGUUACCCGCAGAAGAAGCACCGGCUAACUCCGUGCCAGCAGCCGCGGUAAUUC